CCUACGGGCGGCUGCAGUAGGGAAUCUUCCACAAUGGGCGAAAGCCUGAUGGAGCAACGCCGCGUGGGUGAAGAAGGUCUUCGGAUCGUAAAACCCUGUUGUUAGAGAAGAAAGUGCGUGAGAGUAACUGUUCACGUUUCGACGGUAUCUAACCAGAAAGCCACGGCUAACUACGUGCCAGCAGCCGCGGUAAUACGUAGGUGGCAAGCGUUAUCCGGAUUUAUUUGGCGUAAAGGGAACGCAGGCGGUCUUUUAAGUCUGAUGUGAAAGCCUUCGGCUUAACCGGAGUAGUGCAUUGGAAACUGGGAGACUUGAGUGCAGAAGAGGAGGGUGGAACUCCAAGUGUAGCGGUGAAAUGCGGAGAUAUAUGGAAGAACACCAGUGGCGAAAGCGGCUCUCUGGUCUGUAACUGACGCUGAGGUUCGAAGGCGUGGGUAGCAAACAGGAUUAGAUACCCUGGUAGUC
rnacentral:rRNA from 1 species